GGGCGCGUAGCUCAGACGGUAGAGCAUCUGCCUUUUAAGCAGAGGGUCCCGGGUUCGAGUCCCGGCGCGCUCACCA
rnacentral:tRNA from 1 species